rnacentral:tRNA from 1 species
GCUUUGUUAGCUCAGUUGGUAGAGCACUUGACCGAUAAUCGAGGGGUCGCUGGUUCAAGUCCAGCACAAAGCACCA